GCUGCUGUAGCCCAAUUGGAAGAGGUGCUGGUCUUAGAAACCAGAGAUUGUGGGUAUCUCCUCCGGAGACGCUUCGCGAACGACUCCCACCAGCAGUA
rnacentral:tRNA from 1 species